rnacentral:rRNA from 1 species
GGGGAGUGAAAUAGUACCUGAAACCGCAUGCUUACAAGCAGUCGGAGGGCUUCGGCCUGACGGCGUGCCUUUUGCAUAAUGAGCCGGCUAGUAGAUGUCACAGGCAAGGUUAAAUGAUAAUUGAGCCGAAGCGAAAGCGAGUCUUAAUAGGGCGUUUAGUCUGUGGUAUCUGGACGUGAAACGGGAUGAUCUAGGCAUGGGCAGGAUGAAGCGUGGGUAACACCACGUGGAGGUCCGAACCAGUUAAGGUUGAAAACUUUUUGGAUGACCUGUGCCUAGGGGUGAAAGGCUAAUCAAAUUCCGUGAUAGCUCGUUCUCGCCGAAAUAUCUUUAGGGAUAGCCUCGGAUGGAUCAUUGUGGUGGUAAAGCACUGACUGGGCUAGGGGCCUCACAAGGUUACCGAACUCAAUCAAACUCUGAAUGCCAUAAAUGUAUGUCCGGGAGUCAGACUACGGGUGCUAAGAUUCGUGGUCGAGAGGGAAACAACCCAGAUCAACAGCUAAGGUCCCGAAGUGAUAGUUAAGUGGAAAAGGAAGUGGGGAAGCACUGACAGCCAGGAGGUUUGCUUAGAAGCAGCAAUCCUUUAAAGAAAGCGUAAUAGCUCACUGGUCAAGUAGCCCUGCACCGACAAUAUAACGGGGCUUAAACUAUCCACCGAAGCUUUGAAUGAAUUUAUUCAUGGUAGGCGAGCAUUCUGUAACUGUGAAGCGGUUCCGUAAGGUCCGUUGGAGUGAUCAGAAAAGACUUUGUCGGCAUUAGUAGCGAUAACGUAUGUGAGAACCAUACGCACCGAAAACCUAAGGUUUCCUGCGUCAAGUUAAUCUGCGCAGGGUUAGUCUGUACCUAAGGCGAGGCCGAAAGGCGUAGUCGAUGGAGAUCCGGUUAAUAUUCCGGAACCAUGGGUAUGUGAUGUGGGUUGACGCAACAGGGUAGGCAAGACGGCUGAUGGAUGCCGUUGAAGUAAAUAGGCCGUCGCUUAGGCAAAUCCGGGCGACAUCAGGCUAAAUACACGGACGAAAGUACGGACCUUCGGGUCCGGAACAAGUUGCUGACCCCAGUUGCCAAGAAAAUUCCCGUUCAUCUAUACAUAUUCCACUGGCAGUACCGCAAACCGACACAGGUAGGUAGGAUGAGAAUUCUAAGGUGCUUGUGAGAACCCUCGUUCAGGAACUCGGCAAAAUGUAUCCGUAACUUCGGGAGAAGGAUAGCCGUGUUCACCAAGAACACGGUCGCAGAGAAAUGUUCCAGGCGACUGUUUAACAAAAACACAGGUCUCCGCAAAGUUGUAAAGACAACGUAUGGGGGCUGACGCCUGCCCAAUGCUGGAAGGUUAAGAGGAGCGGUUAGCCGCAAGGCGAAGCUGCGAAUCGAAGCCCCAGUGAAUGGCGGCCGUAACUAUAACGGUCCUAAGGUAGCGAAAUUCCUUGUCGGGUAAGUUCCGACCUGCACGAAUGGCGUAACGAUCUGGAAGCUGUCUUAACGAGGGACACAGCGAACUUGUAGUACCGGUGAAGAUGCCGGUUUCCCGCAUCUAGACGGAAAGACCCCGUGCACCUUGACUACAACUUGAUAGUGAUUUCGGGCAAACGAUGCGCAGGAUAGGUGGGAGGCUUCGAACUCGUCCUUUCGGGGGCGGGGGAGCCAACGGUGAGAUACCACCCUUCGUUUGUUUGGACUCUAACCUCGGACCGUAAUCCGGUUCAGGGACAUUAUCAGGCGGGUAGUUUGACUGGGGCGGUCGCCUCCUAAAGAGUAACGGAGGCGCGCGAAGGUUCCC